GUGCUCACUUCAGCAGCACAUAUGCUAAAAUUGGAACGAUGCAGAGAUUAGCAUGGCCCCUGUGCAAGGAUGACACACAAAUUCGUGAUGCAUUCCAUAUUUAA
rnacentral:snRNA from 1 species